GGCGUGCCUAAUACAUGCAAGUGGGACGCAAGGGAACACACUGUGCUUGCACACCGUGUUUUCUUGAGUCGCGAACGGGUGAGUAACGCGUAGGUAACCUGCCUAUUAGCGGGGAUAACUAUUGGAAACGAUAGCUAAUACCGCAUAAUAUUAAUUAUUGCAUGAUAAUUGAUUGAAAGAUGCAAGCGCAUCACUAGUAGAUGGACCUGCGUUGUAUUAGCUAGUUGGUAAGGUAAGAGCUUACCAAGGCGACGAUACAUAGCCGACCUGAGAGGGUGAUCGGCCACACUGGGACUGAGACACGGCCCAGACUCCUACGGGAGGCAGCAGUAGGGAAUCUUCGGCAAUGGACGAAAGUCUGACCGAGCAACGCCGCGUGAGUGAAGAAGGUUUUCGGAUCGUAAAGCUCUGUUGUAAGUCAAGAACGUGUGUGAGAGUGGAAAGUUCACACAGUGACGGUAGCUUACCAGAAAGGGACGGCUAACUAC
rnacentral:rRNA from 1 species